rnacentral:rRNA from 1 species
ACGAACGCUGGCGGCGUGCUUAACACAUGCAAGUCGAACGGAAAGGCCCUGCUUUUGUGGGGUGCUCGCGUGGCGAACGGGUGAGUAACACGUGAGUAACCUGCCCUUGACUUUGGGAUAACUUCAGGAAACUGGGGCUAAUACCGGAUAGGAGCUCCUGCUGCAUGGUGGGGGUUGGAAAGUUUCGGCGGUUGGGGAUGGACUCGCGGCUUAUCAGCUUGUUGGUGGGGUAGUGGCUUACCAAGGCUUUGACGGGUAGCCGGCCUGAGAGGGUGACCGGCCACAUUGGGACUGAGAUACGGCCCAGACUCCUACGGGAGGCAGCAGUGGGGAAUAUUGCACAAUGGGCGGAAGCCUGAUGCAGCAACGCCGCGUGUGGGAUGACGGCCUUCGGGUUGUAAACCGCUUUCGCCUGUGACGAAGCGUGAGUGACGGUAAUGGGUAAAGAAGCACCGGCUAACUACGUG